GCCGGUUUAACGCUUGGUGUCUCUCAGCUCCGUGUCGGUCGGUGAAGAAGCAGCAAGAUGCUGUGGCAGACUCAGCUCCUCUGGCUCCUCGUGCUCUGGGCAAAGGGCUCCAGUGGAGACAUCCUCAUCACUCAGACUCCAGAGUCCCUGGCAGUGUCUCCAGGGGACACAGUCACCAUCAAGUGCAAACCCAGCUCCAGUGUUAGCAGCAGCUACAUGCACUUCUACCAGCAGAAACCAGGGCAGGCUCCUAAGCUCCUUCUCUACAGCACAAACAGUCGCCCCUCCGGGAUCUCUGAUCGGUUCAGUGGCAGUGGGUCUGGCACCGACUACACUUUCACCAUCAGCCGGGUGGAAGCUGGAGAUGCUGGAGAUUAUUACUGUCAGCAGGGUGAUAGUACCCCUCCCACAGUGCUACAGCCCC